CUGCAUAGUAGAAUCCCAUCUCAUAAAGACAACAAAGCAAAACAAAUCAAAAAAAAAUUUUUUUUUAACCCGCCCAGCGGCAUGACAGCUGGGGUCGGACAGAGCUGCAAUCCCGGCGCGGGGAAGCCACGCGCAAAGGACUGGCGAGCUGAAAGCGGACCCAGUUGCAGAUGGCGACCGGUAGUAACAGUUGCUUAGCGAGGCGACAAGGGAUCCAGGGCGCUGAGCCGCUGCGUGACUCGGCGGUGACGCCUGAGCUCCAGCCCUGCCCGGGGAAGCACCGCGGAGCUGGGACCCCCUCGUCCCCAGCUCCGGCACGCUAUGCGCUCAAGGCCUCCCUCAUCAUCUUCGUGCUGGGCGGCCCGGGCUGCGGCAAAGGGACUCAGUGCAGGAACAUGGCUACCAAGUACGGCUUCUGCUAUGUGGACCUGGGCCAGCUGCUGCGGCAAGAGGCCCAAAGGAGCACCCGGCAGGGCCGGCAGAUCCGAGACAUUAUGCUGCAGGGGCUCCUGGUGCCCACGGGCCUUGUCCUGGACAUGGUCAGCCAAAAGAUGCUGUCCCACGCAAGCAGCCGCGGCUUCCUCAUCGACGGCUUCCCGCGGGAGCUGACGCAGGCCAAGGAGUUCGAGCGCGUAGUGGGCCGCGCCCCGAACGUCGUCAUCGUGUUCGACUGCUCGAUGGCGACCAUGGUGCGCAGGGCGCUGCAGCGGGGCUGGGUGGAGCGCCGCGAGGACUGCGGGCCGGCCCUGCGCCGGCGCCUGGAGACGCACUACACCUGCUGCGCGCCCGUCUUGACCUUCUACCAGCAGCGGAACCUGCUGCGAAGCAUCUUGGCAGAAGAAGCUCCAGAGAGCGUUUUUGCCAAGUGCUGCUCUGUCAUCGAAAGUCUGCAGUGACUAAGGAGGGGCCGGGGGCUCGCCUCGCCCCCACCCACAGCACCGGGUGAGACGCCUCUGAGGUGAGGCCUCCGGCGUGUGCAGUUUCAACCUCGUCUCGAACAGAUGAAAAGACAGAAGACCAGACCAGUCCUGGGGAGGGGCGGGAGAGGGGGGGGAGGGGGGGAGGGUCCUGCCAUACCGACACCUGGUCCACGGAAUGUUCCAACCCUAACCAAAAAGAGAGAAGGAAAAAGAAAAGAAAAAAGAAAAACCAAAAAAGUAGCAAGAGUGACUUUUUUUCCUUUUUAAAGUUUAUUUUAAAAACCAAGAGGGCCGUGGGCAGCGGGGAGAUGGAUGGUUCUGCCCGCAGGGGGCGCUGUCAGGGAGGCUGGGGGAUAGAGAUUUUUAUAUAUAUAUCAUUUUAUAGGUUUUGUUCUGCUCUUUGUGUUCUUUACGUUCUGGGGUUUUGGCAGAGAUCUAACUCUCGCUCUCCUCUAAGGCUGGCUCGACAAGAAGUCCCGAGUGUGAGCGGAAAGGGCGCGACACACCGGCGAGCGCGCGAGCCCCGCCGCCCCCGCCCGCCCCAGCGACCGCGCGAAGAGCCCCCAACAGAACAAAUGGAGAAAAAUAAAGACUUUCACAGAUGAA